GACGAGAAGCUUGCUUCUCUGAUGUUAGCGGCGGACGGGUGAGUAACACGUGGAUAACCUACCUAUAAGACUGGGAUAACUUCGGGAAACCGGAGCUAAUACCGGAUAAUAUUUUGAACCGCAUGGUUCAAAAGUGAAAGACGGUCUUGCUGUCACUUAUAGAUGGAUCCGCGCUGCAUUAGCUAGUUGGUAAGGUAACGGCUUACCAAGGCAACGAUGCAUAGCCGACCUGAGAGGGUGAUCGGCCACACUGGAACUGAGACACGGUCCAGACUCCUACGGGAGGCAGCAGUAGGGAAUCUUCCGCAAUGGGCGAAAGCCUGACGGAGCAACGCCGCGUGAGUGAUGAAGGUCUUCGGAUCGUAAAACUCUGUUAUUAGGGAAGAACAUAUGUGUAAGUAACUGUGCACAUCUUGACGGCACCUAAUCAGAAAGCCACGGCUAACUACGUGCCAGCAGCCGCGGUAAUACGUAGGUGGCAAGCGUUAUCCGGAAUUAUUGGGCGUAAAGCGCGCGUAGGCGGUUUUUUAAGUCUGAUGUGAAAGCCCACGGCUCAACCGUGGAGGGUCAUUGGAAACUGGAAAACUUGAGUGCAGAAGAGGAAAGUGGAAUUCCAUGUGUAGCGGUGAAAUGCGCAGAGAUAUGGAGGAACACCAGUGGCGAAGGCGACUUUCUGGUCUGUAACUGACGCUGAUGUGCGAAAGCGUGGGGAUCAAACAGGA
rnacentral:rRNA from 1 species